UGUCCGUCAUGCAGAAAGGGUCCCCAUUCCUACUCCUACUUUAUCUGCAAGGCGUGAGAAGGUUAGUGUUUAGUUCUGAUGAAUUGCUUAAUAUGAAAAUGUGAAAAUCAUGUGUUGUGUGAAUGCAUCAGCCAUGAUUUUCAGUAUAGAUUGCAUUACUUUAUUUAAAAUUUUUUUGUUUGUCUAAGAAACCACAUAUUUUAGAACCUGGAACAAAAUUUGUGAAAUGUUCCAUGAGAACAUUAGACAAUUCAUAAUCUUUCUUUGAAUACAAUAUGAAAAAUGAUCUGACAAAGAAGCAAAGAAAUAGACCUACUACCUUGGUUAAAUGUUGAAGUUAGGCCUAAAUUAAUUUGAAGGUUAUGUUGCAUUUAUUUUUGGCAAGGAUGUAUGAACAAUUUUUUAUUUUAUUUUUAUGCAGAC
rnacentral:lncRNA from 1 species